rnacentral:rRNA from 1 species
GGGAAUCUACCGUGCCCUGCGGAAUAGCUCCGGGAAACUGGAAUUAAUACCGCAUACGCCCUACGGGGGAAAGAUUUAUCGGGGUAUGAUGAGCCCGCGUUGGAUUAGCUAGUUGGUGGGGUAAAGGCCUACCAAGGCGACGAUCCAUAGCUGGUCUGAGAGGAUGAUCAGCCACAUUGGGACUGAGACACGGCCCAAACUCCUACGGGAGGCAGCAGUGGGGAAUAUUGGACAAUGGGCGCAAGCCUGAUCCAGCCAUGCCGCGUGAGUGAUGAAGGCCUUAGGGUUGUAAAGCUCUUUCACCGGUGAAGAUAAUGACGGUAACCGGAGAAGAAGCCCCGGCUAACUUCGUGCCAGCAGCCGCGGUAAUACGAAGGGGGCUAGCGUUGUUCGGAAUUACUGGGCGUAAAGCGCACGUAGGCGGAUAUUUAAGUCAGGGGUGAGAUCCCAGAGCUCAACUCUGGAACUGCCUUUGAUACUGGGUAUCUUGAGUAUGGAAGAGGUAAGUGGAAUUGCGAGU